rnacentral:rRNA from 1 species
CGGCUUAGAUUAGUGCACCUGCAGUUCCUCAUCGAUAGAAUUAGGGCUGGGUUAGCAGGAUGGAAAGGCCAGCUGCUCCCUUUUGCUAGCAGAAGAGUGUUGGUCCGGAGCGUCCUCAGCGCGAUGCCCACCUUUGCCCUCUCAGUGCUGCGAGUACCACCAAAGCUGCUCAAGGAUAUUGACAAGUGCAGGAGGAGAUUCCUUUGGAAGCAGGAGGAGGCGAUAAAAGGGGCGAGCUGCAAGGUAAACUGGCCAACGGUGUGUACUCCAACUGAGACGGGUGGACUCGGGAUCCUGGACCUUCAAAGUCUGAGCCGAUCCCUCCGGCUACGUUGGCUAUGGAUUGCAUGA